AACGAACGCUGGCGGCGUGGAUAAGACAUGCAAGUCGAACGGGACAGACCGAGUAGCAAUAUUUGGAAUGUUCAGUGGCGAACGGGUGCGUAACACGUGGAUAACAUUCCGGAAAGCGGGGAAUAGCCCAGGGAAACUUGGAUUAAUACCGCAUGUGGCCGCAAGGCUAAAGACGAGGACCGCAAGGCCUGUCACUUUCCGAUUGGUCCGCGGCCUAUCAGCUAGUUGGCGGGGUAAUGGCCCACCAAGGCUACGACGGGUAGCUGGUCUUAGAGGACGUCCAGCCACACUGGAACUAAGACACGGUCCAGACACCUACGGGUGGCAGCAGUCGAGAAUCUUUCACAAUGGGGGCAACCCUGAUGGAGCGACGCCGCGUGGAGGAUAAGGUCUUCGGAUUGUAAACUCCUGUCAUGCGAGAACAAGGUACUCAGGCUAAUAACCUGAUUGUUUGAUGGUACCGCAAGAGGAAGAGACGGCUAACUCUGUGCCAGCCGCCGCCGUAAUAC
rnacentral:rRNA from 1 species